CCUACGGGAGGCGGCAGUAGGGAAUAUUGCUCAAUGGGGGAAACCCUGAAGCAGCAACGCCGCGUGGAGGAUGAAGGUUUUCGGAGUGUAAACUCCUUUUGUUAGAGAAGAUAAUGACGGUAUCUAACGAAUAAGCACCGGCUAACUCCGUGCCAGCAGCCGCGGUAAUACGGAGGGUGCAAGCGUUACUCGGAAGCACUGGGCGGAAAGAGCGCGUAGGCGGGAUAGCAAGUCAGAUGUGAAAUCCUAUGGCUUAACCAUAGAACUGCAUUUGAAACUGUUAUUCUAGAGUAUGGGAGAGGUAGGUGGAAUUCUUGGUGUAGGGGUAAAAUCCGUAGAGAUCAAGAGGAAUACUCAUUGCGAAGGCGACCUGCUAGAACAUAACUGACGCUGAUGCGCGAAAGCGUGGGGAGCAAACAGGAUUAGAUACUCUGGUAGUC
rnacentral:rRNA from 1 species